AGCAUUAACAUGUAUACGAAUGGUAUAAUACACAAAAAUCUGAUAAAUUACAAUUCAAUUUAGCAAAAUUGUCAAAAAAAAAAUCAAAGAUCGGUAUCAAUUAGAAUUACAAAAUUUUGUGGUGGAACCAAAUGAUAAGUUACUAUAGUGGAAGCGUCCAAGUCCUUCAAUAACUUACUGUAAUGAAAAAUCAACAGAAGAAUGCAUGACAAGUAAAAACAUUAGAACUCAAUUAAAAACAAAGUCCUUGCUCAUAAUAUGUCAAAUUGUUCCAGAUAAUUGUGCCAACAUGUUUUGUGGUGAAAAUAAACAAUCUCAAAACUUAGACCAAACACAAUCAUACUCCUUCGUUACUUAUUUUCCUUCAGCAAUCAAUCCAAACAACAUACUCUCCUAAUAUAUGGAAAUUUUAAACCAACCUUAAAUUUAAUGUGUUUGCUAGGCCGGCCACAUAGCUUUAGGGCUUCAAGGAACUUCUUAUGUUCUUCAACAUUUCGACUUUCUCUCUGUUUUGAUAAAGUAUAUGGUUUUGUAGCGUAUAAUGUCUCCUAAUCUUUGUACCAAAAAACAAAUUAAAAUUCUUAUCCAAACUGAACUGAAGCGUUUGGUUCUCAUCAAUUCCAAUUUCCAACAAACAAAAACAAUUUAAAAGAGUAAUCAAAAUGCAAAAUAACAUGUAGAAAUCAGAAACAUGGUGAUUACAAGAAGGAGUGUGUACAAUAACUGAUGUAGUAUCAAAAGUAAGUAUUUUUGUGCAUCGUCUCCACAAGGAUUAGCGCGAUAUUCAAGUCGUUCAACAAUCGAUAUCGCUCUAAACUUAUGGUUCAAAUGAUUGAUUGAUUAAGAACUAAUCCAUCCCCAGAAGUGAGAGAAAAAGCUAUUUAAAUGUGGUUGAAUCUGUCAAACUCGCUUAUAGCCAAAAACUCGUUUAUAGCAAGUUGCACGAAAU
rnacentral:lncRNA from 1 species